rnacentral:tRNA from 1 species
GUCAUAGCUCAGUGGCAGAAUAGCCGCUUUGCAUGCAGAAGGUCCCAGGUUCAAUCCCUUCCAGCGGCA